rnacentral:rRNA from 1 species
GACGAACGCUGGCGGCGUGCUUAACACAUGCAAGUCGAACGGAAAGGCCCUGCUUUUGUGGGGUGCUCGAGUGGCGAACGGGUGCGUAACACGUGAGUAACCUGCCCUUGACUUUGGGAUAACUUCAGGAAACUGGUGCUAAUACCGGAUAGGAGCUCCUGCUGCUUGGUGGGGGUUGGAAAGUUUCGGCGGUUGGGGAUUGACUCGCGGCUUAUCAGCUUGUCGGUGGGGUAGUUGCUUACCAAGGUGUUGACGGGUCGCCGGCCUGGGAGGGUGACCGGCCACAUUGGGACUGAGGUACGACCCAGACUGCUACGGGGGGAAGCAGUGGGAAAUAGUGCACAAUGGGCGGAAGCCUGAUGCAGCAACGCCGCGUGCGGGAUGACGGUCUUCGGGUUGUAAACCGCGUUCGCCUGGAACGAAGCGUGAGUGACGGUAAUGUGUAAGGAAGCACCGGCUAACUACGUG